UCGUCUACGAACACGACCCUUUAAUUGGGAUACUUAUCAGUAACCUUAUUAUCGCGUGCGGCAAAUAAUCAUGUGUACGUACGUUACAUUGACUCGACAUACAAGUUGGUGAGUUUUACACUUCAACUGCUUUUGAAAUGAAUGUGCGACCUAAUUUUACACUAAGAGGGGCCAGUAACAUUCAGGAGAUACGUAGUGGGGAUGUCAUUCGUUAUACGUAUUGGGGGCUAUCACAUGAUGGGGUUGUCGUGGCAGAUUCGAGCAAUAAAAGCCAACAAGGUCGCUUGCGAGUCAUCCAUUACGGCACCGAUUCUCUCAUUUCAUACAGAACAAUAAAAGAAGAGAACGUUUACUUUGAUUUAAGAAAGGAUAGCGUUCAGGUUAUAUCGUUCACGUGCGCAACAUUGGAGACAGAAAUCGUAAUCAAAAGAGCCAAAAGCAGAAUAGGUGAACAACGUCACUCUAUAUUUGACAACAUGUCUUGUCAUUUUGUUGAAUGGGCAAAGCUUGGAAUGCAACCCAUAUCACAAUGCACAACGUUCCACGGAACUCUUCAUCUCUUUAACGUAUACACAUGGGAUGAGAUGAAGGUUGGAUGCAUUGUAGAAUUUCCGUACUGGGCACUGAACCACCAAGGUGUGCUGACCUCUUUCGACGAAAAGAAACGCGUUAUGACCGUGAUUCAUUACGGAACAAAAGGUAUUUUGGCAACACGCACAAUAAUGAAGGAAACGCUUAAUAUAAAUUUGAAAAAAGAUUCUCUAAAGAUCUAUCGUUGCGCUAAAUCUGUUACGCCAAACGACCCGGAUGUUGUUAUUGCGAAUGCCGAGGAACGAGUUGGCGAGCAAAACUGGCGAUUAGGAAAUACAUCGUGGGACUUCUGUCUGCAAUGCCUAUUUGGUUAAUCCUCUGUACAGACCAGAAUUUGUAAAGGUCUUUUCGAUAAACAUUGGUCGAUCUCUUUAACGUACACAAUAUCUUACUUGAAUAAAUGAUAAAACGUUCAAUUCUUUUAACUUUUUAAAAUUGUUUACAUGAUUGACUUUUGGUUUUUGAUUUAUCAUAUUAAAAUCAAAUGUAUUAUAUAUAAUUGUGUUGUAAGUGUAUUGCAUUCUGAGCUUCACAAUACCAGCAAGUUUGUGCAUAUGAAUGUAAGGAAUCAGCAUGAAGCAUGUAUUAGCGGUCAAUAGAUUGAUACUGAAAAUGCAUUUGCGUUUAAAAAUGAUAUGCUUUCUAUUGCUAAAUUAAUUAAAUUUGUCAUUGUAAAAA